GGUUGCGAUCAUACCAGCACUAAUGCACCGGAUCCCAUCAGAACUCCGCAGUUAAGCGUGCUUGGGAGAGAGUAGUACUAGGAUGGGUGACCCCCUGGGAAGUCCUCCUGUUGCAACCC
rnacentral:rRNA from 1 species